rnacentral:rRNA from 1 species
CCUACGGGAGGCAGCAGUGAGGAAUAUUGGUCAAUGGGCGAGAGCCUGAACCAGCCAAGUCGCGUGAGGGAGUACUGCCCUAUGGGUUGUAAACCUCUUUUGUCGGGGAGCAAAAGCCGGACGUGUCCGGCUGUGAGCGUACCCGAAGAAAAAGCAUCGGCUAACUCCGUGCCAGCAGCCGCGGUAAUACGGAGGAUGCGAGCGUUAUUCGGAUUUAUUGGGUUUAAAGGGUGCGCAGGCGGAUUUUUAAGUCAGCGGUAAAAUCGUGGGGCUCAACCCCAUCCAGCCGUUGAAACUGGGGAUCUAGAGUGUGCGAGAGGUAUGCGGAAUGAGUGGUGUAGCGGUGAAAUGCAUAGAUAUCACGCAGAACCCCGAUUGCGAAGGCAGCAUACCGGUGCACAACUGACGCUCAGGCACGAGAGCGUGGGUAUCGAACAGGAUUAGAUACCCGAGUAGUC